UACAGAGGUCUCAAGUGUUGUUCGGAUUCAUUGGGCGUAAAGGGUGCGUAGGCGGCGCGGUAAGUCGGGUGUGAAAGUCGGGGGGCUCAACCCUCGAAUGCCGGUGGAUACUGUCGGGCUAGAGUGCGGAAGAGGCGAGUGGAAUUCCUGGUGUAGCGGUGAAAUGCGCAGAUAUCAGGAGGAACACCAAUGGCGAAGGCAGCUCGCUGGGACGUGACUGACGCUGAGACGCGAAAGCGUGGGGAGCGAACGGG
rnacentral:rRNA from 1 species